AUUGAACGCUGGCGGCAGGCUUAACACAUGCAAGUCGAGCGAGCGGCGGACGGGUGAGUAGUGUCUGGGAAACCGCCUGAUGGAGGGGGAUAACUACUGGAAACGGUAGCUAACACCGCAUACCAUAAGAUGUGCCCAGUUGGGACUAGCUAGUAGGUGGGGUAAUGGCCCACCUAGGCGACGAGCUCUAGCUGGUCUGAGAGGAUGACCAGCCACACUGGAACUGAGCCACGGUCCAGACCCCUACGGUAGGCAGCAGUGGGGAAUAUUGCACAAUGGACGAAAGCCUGAUGCAGCCAUGCCGCGUGUGUGAAGAAGGCCUUCGGGUUGUAAAGCACUUUCAGCGAGGAGGCGUUACUCGCAGAAGAAGCACCGGCUAACUCCGUGCCAGCAGCCGCGGUAAUAC
rnacentral:rRNA from 1 species